AAGACUCUAGUUAAAUAAUAACCUUACCUUGUCAAGGUAAAAUUGUGGGUUAAACCCCUGCGUGUCUUG
rnacentral:tRNA from 1 species